rnacentral:rRNA from 1 species
CACUCCUGCGGGAGGCAGCAGUGGGGAAUAUUGGACAAUGGGCGCAAGCCUGAUCCAGCCAUGCCGCGUGAGUGAUGAAGGCCCUAGGGUUGUAAAGCUCUUUCACCGGUGAAGAUAAUGACGGUAACCGGAGAAGAAGCCCCGGCUAACUUCGUGCCAGCAGCCGCGGUAAUACGAAGGGGGCUAGCGUUGUUCGGAUUUACUGGGCGUAAAGCGCACGUAGGCGGACUAUUAAGUCAGGGGUGAAAUCCCGGGGCUCAACCCCGGAACUGCCUUUGAUACUGGUAGUCUUGAGUUCGAGAGAGGUGAGUGGAAUUCCGAGUGUAGAGGUGAAAUUCGUAGAUAUUCGGAGGAACACCAGUGGCGAAGGCGGCUCACUGGCUCGAUACUGACGCUGAGGUGCGAAAGCGUGGGGAGCAAACAGGAUUAGAUACCCUAGUAGUCCCAUG